UAACACUGUAAUGGCCGGUAACUGGAGGGUUGUGUUUGGUCUUUAUCAGGUUUCAAUAACACUGUAAUGGCCGGUAACUGGAGGGCUGUGUUGGGUCUUUAUCAGGUCUCAAUAACACUGUAAUGGCCGGUAACUGGAGGGUUGUGUUUGGUCUUUAUCAGGUUUCAAUAACACUGUAAUGGCCGGUAACUGGAGGGUUGUGAUGGGUCUUUAUCGGGUCUCAAUAACACUGUAAUGGCCGGUA